CGGGUACAUCCUCACCCCGGCGGGGGCCAGAGUCGUGGUAAUACUGGCGCUGGCCAGCAGGGAGCAGAGGGCACCGGCGAGCAGAGAGACUCGCAGCAGCAGAACAGGGAGCGAGUGAUCCAGUCGUUGGAGGGAGCUCAACAGGGGUCAGAGGGGCGUGGCCUAUCUCUGGGGCUGCACCAACUUCCUGUCCGCCCUGUCACUCAGAACGGCAAACACACCGCCGCCGUCGCCGCGGCUACCGGCGUCGCCAACGCUUACGCUCUGACCAGUCCUCUCCAGAUCCUGGCAGCCCAGGCCUCCAGCUCCCCCAGUCCUGGUGAGCAGACAGCCCAGCGCGGGGCCUGAUAUUGGGCCGGAGGUGCCAGGCGACCCCCAGGCUAAGAGGCCUAAGAUGGAGGAGGACGAGGCGGCUCCUCCCCCCAUUCAGCAGCCAGUCAUCGUGGCCAUGAGUUCUCAGCCACACGACAACAGAAUGUAGAACUGCUGAACUCUAACCCCCUGACCUGGUGUCUAGAGGAGGAGGAGGAGGAGGAGCCUCUCUGGGUGAACCAUCUCACCAGUCUGACCCCUGGGUCCCAGUGUCUGCUGGUUCACCCUCUGACCCCUGGGUCCCAGUGUCUGCUGGUUCACCCUCUGACCCCUGGGUCCCAGUGUCUGCUGGUUCACCCUCUGACCCCUGGGUCCCCCAGGUGUCACCUAGUAGAUAAAGGCUUGUGUCCCAUACUGUUUGAGACCAGAGCCCUACUCCCAACAUAGUGUACUGCCUCAGACCAGAGCCCUACUCCCAACAUAGUGUACUGCCUCAGACCAGAGCCCUACUCCCAACAUAGUGUACUGCCUCAGACCAGAGCCCUACUCCCAACAUAGUGUACUGCUUCAGACCAGAGCCCUACUCCCAACAUAGUGUACUGCCUCAGACCAGAGCCCUACUCCCAACAUAGUGUACUGCCUCAGACCAGAGCCCUACUCCCAACAUAGUGUACUGCUUCAGACCAGAGCCCUACUCCCAACAUAGUGUACUGCCUCAGACCAGAGCCCUACUCCCAACAUAGUGUACUGCCUCAGACCAGAGCC